rnacentral:rRNA from 1 species
ACGGGAGGCAGCAGUGGGGAAUCUUGCACAAUGGGCGAAAGCCUGAUGCAGCAACGCCGCGUGCGGGAAGAAGGCCCUAGGGUUGUAAACCGCUUUCAGCAGGGAAGAAAAUGACGGUACCUGUAGAAGAAGGUGCGGCCAACUACGUGCCAGCAGCCGCGGUGACACGUAGGCACCAAGCGUUGUCCGGAUUUAUUGGGCGUAAAGAGCUUGUAGGCGGUUCGGUAAGUCGGGUGUGAAACCUCUGGGCUCAACUCAGAGACGCCACCCGAUACUGCUGUGACUAGAGUGCGGUAGGGGAGCGGGGAAUUCCUGGUGUAGCGGUGAAAUGCGCAGAUAUCAGGAGGAACACCAGUGGCGAAGGCGCCGCUCUGGGCCGUAACUGACGCUGAGAAGCGAAAGCGUGGGGAGCAAACAGGAUUAGAUACCCUGGUA